rnacentral:lncRNA from 1 species
CUUCUGGAAUCUCAAAUUUUGCUGAAAAACUAGGAUAAUCGAUUAUCCUAAUAGGACAAUCGAUUAUCUUAGCUCUCUGGAAUUUCCAAUUUUGCUGAAAAAACUCCAGUUAAUCGAUUAUUUUAAAAAUAAUCGAUUAUCCUCAGAUUCUGUUUCAAAAAUUUUGAUGAACAAAUUGCAUAAUCGAUUAUUUUCAAAGAAUAAUCGAUUAUGUGAUGCUUCUGUU